rnacentral:rRNA from 1 species
GUCAAGUCAUCAUGGCCCUUACGUCCAGGGCGACACACGUGCUACAAUGGCCGGUACAAAGCGUCGCCAACCCGCGAGGGUGAGCCAAUCGCUAAAAGCCGGUCUAAGUUCGGAUUGUAGUCUGCAACCCGACUACAUGAAGCCGGAAUCGCUAGUAAUCGUGGAUCAGCCAUGCCACGGUGAAUACGUUCCCGGGCCUU